rnacentral:tRNA from 1 species
GGGCGAGUGGUGAAAUUGGCAGACACGCAAGAUUUAGGAUCUUGUGCCUCGCGGCUUGCGGGUUCGAGUCCCGCCUCGCCCA